AUGCAGGGGUGUGGUGCCCAUAGGAGGUUGUCACCUGAACUGGCUUGUUCUACUACCAACAUAGUGUUUCUUCCACAAGCAACUCAGCUGCGAUCUUGGCCACCACCUCCGACUGGUACAAAAUAUGUUGGUACCCUUCUAUACAAAACUACAGGCAUGCUAUGGGUUCCUUCCCUCAAAAAUCAAGUUCACUGGCUUGGGAAGUCACCAUGGCCAGCCCCCGAGCAAGAGCAGACAAAUAGGGGUGUACAGGUGAACCAUGACAGCAGGAACUUUGUUGAACUUGGGUUUGACCAUCUACAGAAGCAGUACAAGGGGAACUACAAUAUGAUUCAAGGGACUGUAAUUAUUUACAUAUUUAGUGCUCUCACUUGCUGGUACAAGAGGGGUUCACUGCAAUUUAUUGUGGACUGGACCGUCUGCGACGGGCGUCGUCAUCAACACCAAAGUGUUUCGGAGAUGUUCAUAGCAGGGCUGAAUUAUGAGAUGGAUCAUCAACCUCAAGGCACCUUGGUACCUGCAGUCAUGUUGUUGCAACAACUCCGACCUACUAACCAGCUGCUUAUUUCUUGCUGGUCAUGGCCGCAAGCAAGAAAAAGGGUGCAACACUGCACAGUGUACUGGCCACCAUGGGACAAGUCAAUGUCAAUGGAUUUUGUAGAGACAAAGGGCAGUUUGAAUUAUUUCAGGUACGCAUAUGAUCCUUCUGUCAGCCAUGUGCAGAAAUUGUUUGAAGCUACCAAAUCAGCCAAUGACCUCAAUACUAUUGCUGCUAUAUUAGACAAAUACCCCUACCAUCCAGACUCAUUAUUACCAUUUGCUGAUAUGUUCAAAUAUUCUGGAGAACAUCACUCUUCAGCAGAUGCCGUCGAGAAGUGUCUAUUUGCACUGGAGUGUGCUUGGCAUCCAUUAUUUAGUCCACUGCAGGGCAACUACCAGUUGAAAUACAACCAGGACAUAAAUAAGCCAUUUCUUACAUCCCUGCUCAGUCACAUGAAAAUCCUGGAUCGGCAUGGUUGUCACUGCUCAGCUUUAGAGGCAUGCAAGUUUCUUUUUUCAUUGGAUUCUGACAACCCAAAGGGUGUUGUGUUUUGCAUUGACUCCUUGGCUCUAAGAUCGCAGCAGUACAUAUGGUUGGAACAGUUUGCUGAAGAGUAUCAGUGGGAUAACUUUCUUUGGCUGCUCUCCAUUUUCUCCUUUUCUCUAGCCAUUUCAUGGACCCAAAUACUCAAGAGUGUGUUCUUAGGCCAGCAUGGGCGUUCGCCUGGUGAUGCAAUAGAAAAUAUUCAGAAAAUUGGCAUUGAGUUGGGAGGACUGAACACUACCAAGCAAACUUAUGAAGAGGAUUGCAAUUUCUUUCAUCAGCUUGUGCUAAGCAGUGCGAUCGUCCGGAAGCACAUACUUCUACUAUAUGAUCCAGGUGGCUUCGCUCUUCGGCUAGGCGAGUGUGGCGGCAUUCCCGAUUCAAGGAUGUUCAUCAUCGGCUUGAGGGCAAGCCGAAUUUCAAGGGAGGAAGAGUGUAACACCCCACCCAUGGGCUGUCACCCUAUACUUUGUAACUGGGCCUGGGCUACGAGAUGGGCCGUUCAUUGGAGGUUAGUUCCCACACAGCACAGGCUACAUAUGCAAUCAGGAGAGCACAAGGAAGGGCAGCGAAUGAAUGACUGA
rnacentral:rRNA from 1 species